rnacentral:rRNA from 1 species
CGGCAGGCCUAACACAUGCAAGUCGAACGGUAACAGGAAGAAGCUUGCUCUUGCUGACGAGUGGCGGACGGGUGAGUAAUGUCUGGGAAACUGCCUGAUGAGGGGGAUAACUACUGGAAACGGUAGCUAAUACCGCAUAACGUCGCAAGACCAAAGAGGGGGACCUUCGGGCCUCUUGCCAUCGGAUGUGCCCAGAUGGGAUUAGCUAGUAGGUGGGGUAACGGCUCACCUAGGCGACGAUCCCUAGCUGGUCUGAGAGGAUGACCCAGCCACACUGGAACUGAGACACGGUCCAGACUCCUACGGGAGGCAGCAGUGGGGAAUAUUGCACAAUGGGCGCAAGCCUGAUGCAGCCAUGCCGCGUGUAUGAAGAAGGCCUUCGGGUUGUAAAGUACUUUCAGCGGGGAGGAAGGGAGUAAAGUUAAUACCUUUGCUCAUUGACGUUACCCGCAGAAGAAGCACCGGCUAACUCCGUGCCAGCAGCGGC